rnacentral:rRNA from 1 species
UACGUAGGGGGCAAGCGUUGUCCGGAUUCAUUGGGCGUAAAGGGCGCGUAGGCGGUGUGUCAAGUCAGGCGUGAAAGCCCCGGGCUCAACCUGGGAAUGGCGAUGGAUACUGGCUCGCUAGAGUGCGGUAGAGGAGAGUGGAAUUCCCGGUGUAGCAGUGAAAUGCGUAGAGAUCGGGAGGAACAUCAGUUGCGAAGGCGGCUCUCUGGACCAGCACUGACACUGAGGCACGAAAGCGUGGGGAGCAAACAGG